rnacentral:rRNA from 1 species
AGAGUUUGAUCCUGGCUCAGGAUGAACGCUAGCGGCAGGCCUAAUACAUGCAAGUCGAGGGGUAACAGGGGAGCUUGCUCCUGCUGACGACCGGCAAACGGGUGAGGAACACGUACACAACCUUCCUUCUAGUGGAGGAUAGCCCAGGGAAACUUGGAUUAAUACUCCGUAAGAUGUUAGGGAGGCAUCUCCCAGACAUUAUAGUAGCGAUACGCUAGAAGACGGGUGUGCGUCUGAUUAGGUAGUUGGCGGGGUAACGGCCCACCAAGCCGACGAUCAGUAACUGGUGUGAGAGCACGACCAGUCACACGGGCACUGAGACACGGGCCCGACUCCUACGGGAGGCAGCAGUAAGGAAUAUUGGUCAAUGGACGAAAGUCUGAACCAGCCAUGCCGCGUGAAGGAUGAAGGUCCUCUGGAUUGUAAACUUCUUUUAUAUGGGACGAAAAAAGGGUUUUCUAACUCUGCUGACGGUACCAUAUGAAUAAGCACCGGCUAACUCCGUGCCAGCAGCCGCGGUAAUACGGAGGGUGCAAGCGUUAUCCGGAUUUACUGGGUUUAAAGGGAGCGUAGGUGGGCUGUUAAGUCAGUGGUGAAAUCCCGGGGCUCAACCUCGGAACUGCCGUUGAUACUAUCAGUCUUGAAUAUUGUGGAGGCUAGCGGAAUAUGUCAUGUAGCGGUGAAAUGCUUAGAUAUGACAUAGAACACCGAUUGCGAAGGCAGCUGGCUACGCAUAUAUUGACACUGAGGCUCGAAAGCGUGGGUAGCAAACAGGAUUAGAUACCCUGGUAGUCCACGCCCUAAACGAUGGAUACUCGACAUUAGCGAUAUACUGUUAGUGUCUGAGCGAAAGCAUUAAGUAUCCCACCUGGGAAGUACGAUCGCAAGAUUGAAACUCAAAUGAAUUGACGG